UUGAUCUGCUACGGUGAAGUCUAUGGUGCACCGGCAUCUGAUGAAGCUGCCAGCAUGAUCUAAUUAGCUUUCUUUAUCCUUUGUUGUGUUUCAUGACGAUGGUUAAGAGAUCAGUCUCGAUUAGAUCAUGUUCGCAGUUUCACCCGUUGACUGUCGCACCCUUCUAUAAACCCUAAAUUUUCUCUCUAUCUUUUUUAGUUUGAUUUUCAAGACACUUUGUUUCUCAAUCUUCAGUCUGAUUUUGUGAGCU
rnacentral:precursor_RNA from 1 species